AGCUUUGCACAGUGGCAGUAUGGUAGCCAGUGAGGUUUAUCUGAGGCACGAUUAUUGCUAAUUGAAAACUUUUCAGCAGGUACUCAAUAAAUAUUCAGUAAUUCAGUAAAAAA
rnacentral:snRNA from 1 species